UAAGUAAAUGCUGCUCUCUGCUCUC
rnacentral:piRNA from 1 species